CUCUGUGAGCUGAUUCCACCAGUGACUGAGCACAGACCACCACCAUGGAGCUGGGGCUGCGCUGGGUUCUCCUUGUUGCUCUGUUGAAAGGUGUGCAGUGUGAGGUGCAGCUGGUGGAGUCUGGGGGAGGCUUGGUGCAGCCUGGGGGAUCCCUGAGACUCUCCUGUGCAGCCUCUGGAUUCACCUUCAGUAACUAUGGCAUGAACUGGGUCCGCCAGGCUCCAGGGAAGGGACUGGAGUGGCUCUCAUACAUCCGUGGUGAUAGUAGUAGCACAUACUACGCAGACUCUGUGAAGGGCCGCUUCACCAUCUCCAGAGACAACAGCAAGAACACACUUUACCUGCAGAUGAACAGCCUGAGAGUGGAGGACACGGCCGUCUAUUACUGUGCUAGAGACACAGUAGUGCUAGGGGGCAGAGGGCUGCUUUCAAGAAUGGCUACCAAGGAGCUGCAGGCUCCAGGGAAGGGGCUGGAGUGGAUUUCAUACAUCUAUGAUAGUAGUAGCAUAUACUACACAGACUCUGUGAAGGGCCGCUUCACCAUCUCCAGAGACAACAGCAAGAGCACAUUUUACCUGCAGAUGAACAGCUUGAGAGUGGAGGACACGGCCGUCUAUUACUGUGCUAGAGACACAGUGCAGGAAAUCCAGUAUGUCCUGUCCCAGCAGCUGCAGGCGACCCACAGCCUGGCCUGA